UACGAAGGGGGCUAGCGUUGCUCGGAAUUACUGGGCGUAAAGCGCACGUAGGCGGCUUUGUAAGUUAGAGGUGAAAGCCCGGGGCUCAACCCCGGAAUAGCCUUUAAGACUGCAUCGCUUGAACACGGGAGAGGUGAGUGGAAUUCCGAGUGUAGAGGUGAAAUUCGUAGAUAUUCGGAAGAACACCAGUGGCGAAGGCGGCUCACUGGACCGUUGUUGACGCUGAGGUGCGAAAGCGUGGGGAGCAAACAGG
rnacentral:rRNA from 1 species